AGGACACUAGCUCAAUCGGCAGAGCAUUGGUUUCCAAAACCAAAGGUUGGGGGUUCGAUUCCCUCGUGUCCUG
rnacentral:tRNA from 1 species